GCAAUUGCAACCGGGGCGCCAUCCGCCUAUAUGUCUUAUGUUCCUUCGGGGACUAUGGACAUAAACGCGCUCGUAAUAAGCGGAUCGGACCCGGGGGCGGUACCCGGCGACUCCACCAAAACUCCCUCGUUUGGGGACCAUGGGGUCGAAAUAGGAUCGACGGACGUCUAAAGGGGUUUGCUUUGUCUCGGUGAGUUACCACCGUUAUCGGUACACUUAAGCUAGUUGCAAACGACAACAAAGCUCCGGUCGCACUCGCAGCGUAAGCUGUGCGUAAGAUCGAAAUCUUAAGCCCUGUCGCCUAGCAGCGUCAGGCGGGGUUCGCAGGUACCUGGCAACAGAAACCUGCAUU
rnacentral:tmRNA from 1 species